AUUGAACGCUGGCGGAAUGCUUUACACAUGCAAGUCGAACGGCAGCACGGACUUCGGUCUGGUGGCGAGUGGCGAACGGGUGAGUAAUGUAUCGGAACGUGCCCAGUCGUGGGGGAUCACGUAGUGAAAAUUACGCUAAUACCGCAUACGGUCUCUGGAUGAAAGCGGGGGAGCGCAACACAUCGCGCGAUUGGAGCGGCCGAUAUGAGAUUAGGUAGUUGGUUGGGUAAAGGCCCACCAAGCCAACGAUCUGUAGCUGGUCUGAGAGGACGACCAGCCACACUGGAACUGAGACACGGUCCAGACUCCUACGGGAGGCAGCAGUGGGGAAUUUUGGACAAUGGGCGAAAGCCUGAUCCAGCCAUUCCGCGUGAAGGAUGAAGGCCCUCGGGUUGUAAACUGCUUUUGUACAGAACGAAAAGGUUUCUACUAAUACUAGGAGCUCAUGACGGUACUGUAAGAAUAAGCACCGGCUAACUACGUGCCAGCCGCCGCGGUAA
rnacentral:rRNA from 1 species